GCAGGCUCCAGCGCAGCCUCCAAGGCAGGCUCCAGCGCAGGCUCCAAGGCAGGCUCCAGCGCAGCCUCCAAGGCAGGCUCCAGCGCAGGCUUCAAGGCAGGCUCCAGCGCAGGCUCCAAGGCAGGCUCCAGCGCAGGCUCCAAGGCAGGCUCCAGCGCAGCCUCCAAGGCAGGCUCCAGCGCAGGCUCCAAGGCAGCCUCCAAGGCAGCCUCCAAGGCAGGCUCCUGCCCAGCGACGUCCGGAUGAACAGGUAGGGAAAAGUUGGCAGAACCCACACGCUAUUGUGCUAUUGCUAUGUUCGGUUUGUGGGGAGAAUAGUGCCUUUUUCCUGUGGGUGGGCAGCCAGCAGCAGGGUGGCAUGUGGGCCUAGGGAAAUGACUUUGCUGGGGACCCUCAGAACUCGUCCCCUGAAUGUUUGUUCCCCGUUGUACCAAAGUGGGAACUGUCUUGCAAUUUAGGCUUGUGGCACACAGGUAGAGAAAGUGAGCUGUUCAUGUCUUACGAUGCCUGGGAGAAGAGAGUAGUGGGUGGGGGCAGCCUCUGCUACUCCUUCUAGAAACAUGAGUGCAAUUCUGGGUGGGAAACAUGUUUUCCCAUCAUGGAUUUGGGGGGGUGCUGCUGCCAGCCAGUGUGGGCUAUUAUAUAAUAUUAUAUAAGAUGCUAAGGAUCUUUUCCCUGUAGGCCUGUUUAUUUUGCUGUAUUUCAAUGAUUGCAUAUUUUCUGACAUGGUUUUAAAGUGUCUUGAGAUUCCCACAUAAUUGGUGGCAGGUAAAUACUCUAAAAAAAUUAAAUUACUUCCCCCCUAUCAUGUCACAAAGUCAAUUGACAUAGAGCCUAAAAUAAUGCCAAUGAGCUCUUCUACCUGGACGUGCAACAUUAGCCCUUAACACAACAGCCCAUUUCCCCCCCUUACUUGAAGGAGUCAUUGGAUAGCUCAGUCAGUAGAGCAUGAGACCCUCAGAGUUGUGGGUUUGAUGCCCACGUUGGGCAAAAGGAUUCCUGCAUUGUUGGGGGUUCAACUACAUGACCCUGGUGUUCCCUUCCAACUCUACAAUUCUAUGCUUCUAUGAAUAAUGCAGGUCUGAGUAGUGAUCCUUUGGUCUUCAAGCCACAAGGAACCCCCAUCCCACAUGCAUCUCCCCCUGAAAUCCUUCCACUUUAAAGUGUGUGAAUAAAAUACUUUGGGUCAUGUGUCUCAUAGAACGUGCCUCCUGGCCGACAACAGGC